UUUUGGCCCAUUCUAAACUUACCUUACUCCUUCAUCGUCUCCACCUCUUCUCCUUCGUCACUAUCGUUUCCACUCUCUCCAAAUCUCCGUUACUUUGCCAUAAUCACCCACUCUGAAUCAUUGAUUCCUACUCUUGACACUUUUAUUCAUACUAGAUGUAUCUUUCCACCUCCCUAUUUUUUUCCUCCUAUUAACACUUCUUAAAAAGGCCGAUUUAUUGCCUCAAACAAUUUCGCAGCAACAAGCGCUUCCAAACGGACUUCUACACUUCACUUUCAAUGUUCUUAUACGAGAAAUCCAUAAAACCACAUCAGUCAAUGGGUAUGAAAUGGACAUGCUUGUUGGGUUUAGAACCGCUUCUCAUGGACGACAGGUAUGUAAUAUUAUUUCUAAUGAUAUUAUUAGCUUCCCCAGAUUCUAAUUCAAUAAUCCCUGCAAUUCAUGGCAAAGGAAACAUCCAGAUCAACGGGGAAGGCAUCGGCGGCUCUGUUCUUCAGUGAUGUCACCCCUGGAUUGGGAUAGUCCAAGAUGCGAUUCCGUUUACUUCAUUUCUGGGAAGCAGUGACCAAUCGGAGAAGAUUAUGAGAAUCCAUUUGUAGGUUCAGGUUUCUCAUUCACGCCACUUUCAGUAUGUUACUCUAAGCCUUUCAGAAAUAGUGACUAAGGUCUCCCUGCUUGAUCUAUGUAGAGACUCAAUCUUUAUUUAUGAUGUAUGAGAAGACUUAUGUCUGUCUUUGUUUCCUUUCCUCAAAGCACCGACUAUGAAAAAACCCCACAACACACAAGUUAGCUUUACUUUGAAAGGAUGAUAUUUGUUCCGUGCAACCAUUCAGUCAUACCAAUGUUAUAGAUCGUACUUCAAUUUUCGUAAGCCAAUAUGCUAUGGAUAGCCUUGCUGUGGAUGUUCUGCAUUUGGUUCAAAAUAAACGUAAAGAAGGCCAAGAAGUUAGGCGAGUAUAACAGCUGGGUUGGAGAGUAAUCGAAAAAAUCAAGAUUCAAGAGUGCCUUAUAUAUUCGAUGUUUCACGCUUUCCUCCAAGCACUGAGUACAGCAAGUGUAACAGAUUGCUUAGUGCACAUUCUUUUUCUUAUACUCUCAUAGAAGAUAUCUCAAACUCAUCGCCUUUGGAGCAUACAAUUAUAUCAAAAUCUGGUGGUGGACAACUAGAUCUGCUUAUCUUUGAUACAUCAUUUAAGAUACUAGAGACAGUCAAACGUCUGUGUGCUAAAAGAGGUCUUUUAGUCAGAAUGACGCACAAGUUUGAUAACCACAAGGAGAACGAAUUUCUUGAAGAAUGGUCUAAAAGGAGGAAGGAGCGAGCAGACUUGCACCAGUCUGCUGGUAACCUUGCUACAGGAGACUACACUGCAGCAGCAGUGAAAAUCGCAGAGGUUCAUUCAGAUUUCGUGAUCGGAUUCAUCUCGGUUAAUCAUGCAUGCGUCUUGGAAAUUGGAGAUGUGUAUCCGUCUAUGAUUCAUGCUAGGCCUGCUGUUCAAAUGGUGAAAGGUGGUGACGCACUUGGUCAAUAGUACAACACUAUGAGUCUCUCGCUCCUAGCCUUAACAUUCAUAGUUAGUAUCUUGUGCGGUGUCUCAGGAAAGUAUCGGUUUUAUGUAUGCUUCUUGACCUUUUCUAGAAAUUUUUGAUUUUAGGUACCUUUCCUUUCGUGUGGCGUUCCAGUCUUCGUAAAGACUAUCUAUAUUCUCUCAAAUGCCAAUACAUCAUAACACCACCUACCACUGUUUGGUUCAAGCCAUUACAUCAAAAAGCUUACUUCAAUGAUCGAAUGAGGAUAAAAGAUUCCCAUCAGUUUUUUUUUGUGUUUAUGGCUGUCUAUAAAAAUU